AACGAACGCUGGCGGCAUGCCUAACACAUGCAAGUCGAACGAGACCUUCGGGUCUAGUGGCGCACGGGUGCGUAACGCGUGGGAACCUGCCCUUAGGUUCGGAAUAACUCCCCGAAAGGGGUGCUAAUACCGGAUAAUGUCUUCGGACCAAAGAUUUAUCGCCUUUGGAUGGGCCCGCGUUGGAUUAGCUAGUUGGUAGGGUAAAAGCCUACCAAGGCGACGAUCCAUAGCUGGUCUGAGAGGAUGACCAGCCACACUGGGACUGAGACACGGCCCAGACUCCUACGGGAGGCAGCAGUGGGGAAUAUUGGACAAUGGGCGAAAGCCUGAUCCAGCAAUGCCGCGUGAGUGACGAAGGCCUUAGGGUUGUAAAGCUCUUUUACCCGGGAUGAUAAUGACAGUACCGGGAGAAUAAGCUCCGGCUAACUCCGUG
rnacentral:rRNA from 1 species